rnacentral:rRNA from 1 species
CGUAGGGUGCAAGCAUUAUCCGGAGUGACUGGGCGUAAAGAGUUGCGUAGGUGGUUUGUUAAGUGAAUAGUGAAAUCUGGGGGCUCAACCUCACAGACUAUUAUUCAAACUGGCAAACUCGAGAAUGGUAGAGGUAACUGGAAUUUCUAGUGUAGGAGUGAAAUCCGUAGAUAUUAGAAGGAACACCAAUGGCGUAGGCAGGUUACUGGACCAUUUCUGACACUGAGGCACGAAAGCGUGGGGAGCGAACCGGAUUAGAUACCCGGGUAGUCCACGCCGUAAACUAUGGAUACUAGCUGUUGGGGGUAUCGACCCCCCCAGUAGCGAAGCUAACGCGUUAAGUAUCCCGCCUGUGGAGUACGGUCGCAAGAUUA